rnacentral:rRNA from 1 species
CCUACGGGUGGCAGCAGUGGGGAAUAUUGCGCAAUGGGCGAAAGCCUGACGCAGCGACGCCGCGUGAGGGAUGAAGGUCUUCGGAUCGUAAACCUCUGUCAGCAGGGAAGAACGGUCACUGUGCUAAUCAGCAGUGAAUUGACGGUACCUGCAAAGGAAGCACCGGCUAACUCCGUGCCAGCAGCCGCGGUAAUACGGAGGGUGCGAGCGUUAAUCGGAAUUACUGGGCGUAAAGCGCUCGUAGGCGGUAUGUCAAGUCAAGGGUGAAAUCCCCGCGCUCAACGUGGGAACUGCCUUUGAAACUGGCAGACUGGAGUGUGUGAGAGGAUAGCGGAAUUCCCGGUGUAGGAGUGAAAUCCGUAGAUAUCUGGAGGAACAUCAGUGGCGAAGGCGACUAUCUGGCACAUAACUGACGCUGAGGAGCGAAAGCGUGGGUAGCAAACAGGAUUAGAUACCCGGGUAGUC